UAUACGUAAGUAUGUCUUUUUGUGUGCAAACCAAUUAAGACACAGCAGAUAGAAACCGAUCGAUCGAGCAUGGAGGGAGGAGGAGUUUUGCAUCUUAGUCUCUUUUGUUUUGCUUUAUUAGGAGGAGGACUCCUCACCACCUCAUUGGCCCAACGUCCCAGCUGGCUGCUAAACUCAUCCACGUUGGAAAUGUUCGUGGAUCAGCUUCCUCAUCUGCCCAAAAUCCUAGCCUACGAUGUUGUGUCUGGUGUUCCCAAAUCUAAGUCACUGGAGAUUGGCAUGUUCAAAAAGAAAUGGAAAUUCCACCGAGAUCUCCCUCCAACACCCGUGUACGCCUACGGUGUAUCUAAGGACACCGCAACAGUUCCUGGUCCAACAAUCGAGGCCCUGCACGGAAUCGACACCUACGUGACGUGGCAAAAUCACCUCCCUCCAAAGCACAUACUGCCGUGGGACACUACCAUCCCAACUGCCAUUCCAGCCAAUAGGAAGGGCAUCCCUACUGUGGUCCAUCUUCACGGUGGGAUCGAUGAGCCCGCGAGCGAUGGACACUUGAACUCAUGGUUCACCGCUGGAUUCAAAGAAAAGGGACCCACGUGGGCGAAAGAAACAUAUCACUACCACAACCAACAACAACCUGGAAACCUGUGGUACCAUGAUCAUGCCGUGGGGUUGACUAGAAUCAACAUCCUAGCUGGCUUGGCUGGAGCCUACAUAAUCCGUCACCCAAAAUUGGAGGCCCCACUUGGACUUCCUAGCGGUGACGAAUUUGAUCGAUUCUUGAUCGUAUUUGAUCGUAGCUUUCGUACUGAUGGUUCAAUAUACGUGAAUUCCACAGGGGAUAACCCCUCCAUACACCCCCAUUGGCAGCCAGAAUAUUUUGGUGAUGCUAUCAUAGUGAACGGCAAGGCCUGGCCACGUUUGAUAGUACGACGUCGUAAGUACCGGUUCCGUAUCCUAAAUGCCAGCAAUGCUAGGUUCUUUAGGUUCUUCUUCACCAACGGUCUGGGGUUCACCCACGUGUCAUCUGAUUCGGCUUAUCUUAACCAACUGGUGGCGACCAAUGAGUUUUUACUGGGCCCGUCUGAGAUUGCAGACGUGGUUGUUGACUUUUCAAACUCAAAGAAUGAUAUUGCUAUCCUAGCAAAUGAUGCACGUUAUCCCUACCCAGGUGGGGACCCGGUCAACGAAGCUAAUAGCAAGGUCAUGAAGUUUAUCAUCCUGAAUCGUCCUGAGGUUGACACGUGGAAAAUUCCCAAGACGUUGAUUCAUUACCCAAGUCCUGAUCUAUCCAGUGCAUCGCACACCAAGUACAUAGCUAUGUACGAGUACACGAGCGCCGCUGAUCAGCCGACUCAUUUAUAUUUGAAUGGGAAAUCAUUCGGAUCACUGGUGACUGAGACCCCAAAAGUGGGGACCACCGAAGUAUGGUACGUGAUCAAUCUGACGGAGGAUAAUCACUCCUUACACAUUCAUUUGGGGCUUUUUGUGGCAAUGGAUCAAACUGAGCUAGUGAACGUGGACGAGUUUAAAAACUGCAUGAUGAGACUGAAUGAUGCAAUCAAGUGCCAAAUAAGCAAGUAUGCACGUGGCAAAAAGAUAGAGGUGCCGGCAUACGAGAAGAGGUGGAAGAACGUGUUCAAGAUAAGACCCAGAUAUGUGACAAAAAUUUUAGUUAGAUUUUCUUACAUACAUUCUAAUGCAUCGUAUCCAUUUGAUGCAACCGUGGAGCCAGGCUACAUGUACCAUUGCCAUAUCUUGGAGCAUGAAGACAACCAGAUGAUGAGGCCCUUAAAGUUGGUCAAUUAAUUAAGAAGGGCAAUAUAUGAGAAAGAUGUGAAUAACCCAAAAUAAGUUUGUUUUCUCUUUCUACAUGCAGGAUCAAAACUUUUCUGAUCCACUAAGUCGAUCAAUCGAGAAAGAAAUAAAGAGUCCGUUGUUGUGGAAAUUGGACUCAUUAAUUGGAGGGUUUAUUUUGUUGUGUCAAAAAAUAGACAGAAAAUAAAUGUAAAAUUGAUAUAAUAUGUUGUACAAUAUGUAAGGUACGGUGCUUACUUCUUUGAGAGUACGUACGAGUCGUAUGCAUAAAUUCAAAGUUAUAUAUGGGUAUUUGAUUUCA